rnacentral:rRNA from 1 species
AGAAAUGACUGCUAAUACCGCAUAAGCGCACAGUAUCGCAUGAUACAGUGUGAAAAACUCCGGUGGUACAAGAUGGACCCGCGUCUGAUUAGCUAGUUGGUAAGGUAACGGCUUACCAAGGCGACGAUCAGUAGCCGGACUGAGAGGUUGAUCGGCCACAUUGGGACUGAGACACGGCCCAGACUCCUACGGGAGGCAGCAGUGAGGGAUAUUGGUCAAUGGGGGAAACCCUGAACCAGCAACGCCGCGUGAGGGAUGACGGCCUUCGGGUUGUAAACCUCUGUCCUCUGUGAAGAUAAUGACGGUAGCAGAGGAGGAAGCUCCGGCUAACUACGUGCCAGCAGCCGCGGUAAUACGUAGGGAGCAAGCGUUGUCCGGAUUUACUGGGUGUAAAGGGUGCGUAGGCGGUUUGGUAAGUCAGAAGUGAAAUCCAUGGGCUUAACCCAUGAACUGCUUUUGAAACUAUCGAACUUGAGUGAAGUAGAGGUAGGCGGAAUUCCCGGUGUAGCGGUGAAAUGCGUAGAGAUCGGGAGGAACACCAGUGGCGAAGGCGGCCUACUGGGCUUUAACUGACGCUGAGGCACGAAAGCAUGGGUAGCAAACAGGAUUAGAUACCCUGGUAGUCCAUGCCGUAAACGAUGAUUACUAGGUGUGGGGGGUCUGACCCCCUCCGUGCCGGAGUUAACACAAUAAGUAAUCCACCUGGGGAGUACGACCGCAAGGUUGAAACUCAAAGGAAUUGACGGGGGCCCGCACAAGCAGUGGAGUAUGUGGUUUAAUUCGACGCAACGCGAAGAACCUUACCAAGUCUUGACAUCCUGCGACGAUGCUGGAAACAGUAUUUUCCUUCGGGACGCAGAGACAGGUGGUGCAUGGUUGUCGUCAGCUCGUGUCGUGAGAUGUUGGGUUAAG